UACGGAGGGGGCGAGCGUUAUUCGGAAUUAUUGGGCGUAAAGGGCGCGUAGGCGGCCGGAUAAGUCAAAGGUGAAAUCCCUCGGCUCAACUGAGGAACUGCCUUUGAUACUGUUUGGCUUGAGUCCGGGAGGGGGUAGCGGAAUUCCCAGUGUAGCGGUGAAAUGCGUAGAUAUUGGGAGGAACACCAGUGGCGAAGGCGGCUACCUGGACCGGAACUGACGCUGAGGCGCGAAAGCGUGGGGAGCAAACAGG
rnacentral:rRNA from 1 species